rnacentral:rRNA from 1 species
AUGGAGGCGGAGGAGGAGGGGAUCUUGGAGAAGAAGACCAACUCGAGGCUGGGCAACCAUCCAGGGGCGGGGGCGACGGCGGCCAGCCGAUUCACCGACGAUCUCAUCCUGGAGAUCCUCUCCCGCCUCCCCGCCAGAUCCCUCCACCGCUUCAAGUGCGUCUCCGUGCGCUGGCGCGACCUCAUCGCCGACCCCGCCAACCGCAAGAAGCUGCCCCAAACCCUCGCCGGCUUCCUCUACACGACCUACAGCAACAACGCGCGACGCCACAACUUUGCUGGUGUCUCCGGCGACGGCGCAACCCCGUUCAACCCUUGCCUCCCUUACCUGCAGCGUGGCGAGUACAAGGACAUCGCUCAGGUGGACGCCUGUAAUGGCCUCCUUCUCUGCCGCUGCUACAACAACAAGGUGACCCCGCGGGCAGAGGAUUAUUUCCGUUUCGUCGUCUGCAAUCCCGCCACCGGGUGGUGGGUGGAGCUGCCCCCUCAGCCUCAAACGCAGGACCCGGCAAACAGAAAUAACCAUGUCGCAGGCCUGGCUUUCGAUCCGGCGGUCUCGUCCCAUUUCCACGUUCUUUGUUUCGAGCAGACCUCUCCAGGACUUCACAUCACAGGAGUGAACAUCUACUCGUUACGGACAGGAGACUGGUGUCAUAGGGACAGUGGGAUGGUUGAGAAAGUUGCCCUGUUCUUCCUGAGCAAAUGUGUCUUCGUCGGCGGUAUGAUGUACGUGAUUGGCAGCCAGCUGGACCGCAUGAACGUCGAGUAUGCGCUGUUGGGGGUGGACAUGGAGGGAAAAGUAUGGACAACCAUCCGCGUGCCGUACAGUCGAAGAUUGGGUACGAUUGGAUCGUCUCAAGGGUGCUUACACUAUGCUAUACCUCCUGCCGAUGAUAACAACAAAAUCCAGUUUUCCGAGAGAGCAUUCUGGUGGCUCAAGGAUCGCCAUAGUAAAGAAUUGGUCCUGAAGCAUACCACCAGCAUCGAUAAGCUUAUGAGCAUGACCGGGCAGAGGUAUAAGGUGGUUGGGAUGCAUCCAGAUUGCGAUACCAUUUUCCUGGUUUCAUAUGAACGUGAUACCUUGGUAUCAUACGACAUGCGGCAUCAGAAAGUUGGCCGUAUCCUUAAUCUUGAGAAAGACCACGCACAACGGUUUCUACCCUAUGUUCCCCUGUUCUCAGGGUCAUUAGCAGUGGCCGAUGGGCAGUAG